rnacentral:rRNA from 1 species
UACGUAGGGUGCAAGCGUUGUCCGGAAUUAUUGGGCGUAAAGAGCUCGUAGGUGGCCUGUCGCGUCGGCUGUGAAAACUCGGGGCUCAACUCCGAGCUUGCAGUCGAUACGGGCAGGCUAGAGUUCGGCAGGGGGAGACUGGAAUUCCUGGUGUAGCGGUGAAAUGCGCAGAUAUCAGGAGGAACACCGGUGGCGAAGGCGGGGUCUCUGGGCCGAUACUGACACUGAGGAGCGAAAGCGUGGGGGAGCGAACAGG